AGGUGAUAAAGUACAUUUGCAGUGGAAAGAGCAGGGAUUGACUCUCUAUCAAAUGAAAAUUCUAACCCAUCUUCGAAGCCACAUCAGCAGUCCAUUUCCCAUAUAUUUCCCCCAAACACAUCAUUGUUAAACUCUUGUGGCACUGGAAGUAGAGUGCAAUCUACUGCCUCAAAUGUUUCUUUUUCUCCGUGGACCCAUUCGAGUCCAUUUGCACCUUUUAAU
rnacentral:misc_RNA from 1 species